rnacentral:rRNA from 1 species
AACGUAGGAGACAAACGUUAUCCGGAGUUACUGGGCGUAAAGGGCGUGUAGGCGGUUCGUUAAGUCUGGCGUGAAAGCUCUCGGCUAAACCGGGAGAGGUCGUUGGAUACUGGCGGACUAGAGGACGGUAGAGGCGUGUGGAAUUCCGGGUGUAGUGGUGAAAUGCGUAGAGAUCCGGAGGAACACCGAUGGCGAAGGCAGCCUCCUGGGCCAGCACUGACGCUCAUGCACGAAAGCGUGGGGAGCAAACAGG